rnacentral:lncRNA from 1 species
UGAAAUUUUUAUGCCCCACCUACGAUAGUAGAGGGGCAUUAUGUUUUCUGGUCUGUGCGUCCGUCCGUCUGUCUGUUCGUCCGUCCGUCUGUUCGUUCGUCCGUCCGUCUGUCCCGCUUCAGGUAAAAGUUUUUGGUCGAGGUAGUUUUUGAUGAAGUUGAAGUCCAAUCAACUUGAAACUUAGUAUACAUGUGCCCUAUGAUAUGAUCUUUCUAAUUUAAAUGCCAAAUUAGAGUUUUGACCCCAAUUUUACGGUUCACUGAACAUAGAAAAUGAUAGUGCAAAUUUCAGGUUAAAGUUUUUGGCUUCAGGUUAAAGUUUUUGGUCAAGGUAGUUUUUGAUGAAGUUGAAGUCCAAUCAACUUGAAACUUAGUAUACAUGUGCCCUAUGAUAUGAUCUUUCUAAUUUAAAUGCCAAAUUAGAGUUUGAC